rnacentral:rRNA from 1 species
ACGGAAGGCAGCAGUGGGGAAUAUUGCACAAUGGGGGAAACCCUGAUGCAGCGACGCCGCGUGAGUGAAGAAGUAUUUCGGUAUGUAAAGCUCUAUCAGCAGGGACGAAAAUGACGGUACCUGACUAAGAAGCCCCGGCUAACUACGUGCCAGCAGCCGCGGUAAUACGUAGGGGGCAAGCGUUAUCCGGAUUUACUGGGUGUAAAGGGAGCGUAGACGGUCUGGCAAGUCUGAUGUGAAAGCCCAGGGCUUAACUCUGGGACUGCAUUGGAAACUGUCGGACUAGAGUGCAGGAGAGGUAAGUGGAAUUCCUAGUGUAGCGGUGAAAUGCGUAGAUAUUAGGAGGAACACCAGUGGCGAAGGCGGCUUACUGGACUGUAACUGACGUUGAGGCUCGAAAGCGUGGGGAGCAAACAGGAUUAGAUACCCUGGUA